rnacentral:rRNA from 1 species
AGCCACAGCCAUGUCACCCUGCAGCCCAAGACCAGAUACUCACUGAAGCUAAUCAGGGCUGAGCCUGGUCAGUACCCGGAUGGGAGACCACUAGGGAACACUAGGUUGCUGUUGGAA